rnacentral:rRNA from 1 species
UACGAAGGGGGCUAGCGUUGCUCGGAAUUACUGGGCGUAAAGGGCGCGUAGGCGGACAUUUAAGUCAGGGGUGAAAUCCCGGGGCUCAACCUCGGAAUUGCCUUUGAUACUGGGUGUCUUGAGUAUGAGAGAGGUGUGUGGAACUCCGAGUGUAGAGGUGAAAUUCGUAGAUAUUCGGAAGAACACCAGUGGCGAAGGCGACACACUGGCUCAUUACUGACGCUGAGGCGCGAAAGCGUGGGGAGCAAACAGG